UUUCAUGAUCAAAAAGGGAUAUACGAAAUUUUAGAAAUAGUUUGACUUUCAUUUUAUAUUUAGAAUAACAAAAUAUAAAAUCAUUGAGAGACAAACGACAAAAAGUCCUUUUUUUCAUUUUCUGAGACCGGAAGUGGUCAUCAGCACGUGUGGAGCCAAACGACAACAAGAUUCUCAGAGGGCGGAGCCAGAGAGCAGUGGUUGGUCAGACCAUAGAUAAUAUAGAAGACAGCGCGCUAGCGGAUCUAGUCUUCUAUAUAUAGGUAUUGUGGGCACGUCUGGUAGCAUCUCUGGCUGCUGUUGACCUUGUUUUUGGAGUAAAACACGGUAAGAAGAUAAAUACUUCUAACCAGCAGCCUUGUUUUGCUGUACGUUAAGUCAGCGACUUGUGAAGAGUUGUGUUUUGUUGUGUUUCACCAGUUGGUCCGGACGCGUUAGCUAGCUAAGCGGCUAAGUUAGCUAGCGGGCUAAUUAACACAGGUGGCUAACUUACCGCUGAACACCUGUUAGUUGCUGCUGCCCGUCAUUAUUAGAAUAACCUUCUCAACCUGUAUUUCUCUGCUGUGUAUUUUAGCUUUUAAAAAAGUUAUUUUUACUUUAAGGUUAACUGAAACCCGUUGAGCUGCACUGAAGUUUAACAUUCAGCUGGUUUCAAUUAAACUGCGCUUAACUUAACAUUGCGCAACAUUACCUCUCUGAAUCUCCAUAAUUUCAUUAAAUUCCUUCUCUUUUCCACUGCUCAAGUUCAAUCCAGUAUAUAAAAUGACAUUAAUAGUGAAUAAACUAACAACCAGCCAUUGUAUUUAUUUAUUAUUGCAUGUAUUUGUAGUAAAACAUGAGUUGAAACAUUCUACUUUUGGAUCUAGAACUGCACAAGCCGUUCAUUUUCAGUCACCAGAUGAGUUAAACUCCCAUUUUUAUGUGAGGUUGAAGCAGAAAGUCUGAGUUAACAAAGAAAGUUGUCUAUAAUUUGCGAUACCUGUUAUCUUUGACUGAGGCUUUAGUUUUUGUUGAGCUGAUUUACACGUAGAAACUUUGUUCAGGAAGAAUAGAUAUUUUUGAGGCUGUGAGGUUGAACGUUUGAGAGUAUAUCAGUGUGUUUGUUUGUGGUCUUUCUGUUUCUAGGUGGAAGCUGAAUUAGUGAGGAUGACUCCUGCUCCUGUCAUCUCUAAGCUCCUCACACAUCUUUACCUGCACAUAAGGAAAAUCACUCCUGUAGAAUGCAGUGGUUCAUCAGAACCUCUGGGGAUGUCCUGUGGAUUCUGUGGAUCCUGUGGGUUGCAGGGUGGAUCCUACCUAGACCAGGCUGAUCCUGGACCAUCCCACAGAUGCUCAAUCAGAUCUGGAUGUGGGGAGUGUGGAACCCAGAUGUUCAGAGGGAGAUGAUGCCACAUCUGGUCCAGCUGAUGGAAGGUCUUGAAGUUCUCUGACUGGCCUCGACUGAAGAUGGUCGUCUCACUGGAUUUAAGGUUCAGAUGCUCAGUAACAAACUCCACCAAUGAGCCAACAGGGAAGCUUUAGGUUUAUUAAAAGUUGCUAUGAAGGUUUCGCCGUUUUUCUUUGUGAAUGCAAUGUGCUCCAACUGAAACUUGAAUUACAACUUAGAAGUAAAUCCUUCCAUCUGAAAGGAUUUAGUUGCAUUAAUAACCUCAUAACAUUCUAAUUUUUAUUCCAGUCUUGGUUGAAAAUAGAAUCUCUGUAUUGAUUCAGGUAAAAACUGAACUUCACAGCAUGUUGGAGCAAAACAACCAGAUGAAAACUGUGAUGGUGUUGGAUUGUCAGACCGUAAUGUUGCAGCUCAAAGCAGCUUUUCUAGCUCAGUUCAUUCUGACAUUCAGCUAUGAAUCAACACAGCAGAUGGUGAUCCAUGCUGUGGAAGUCUCACAUCUCCUGAUUUAAUGGAGCUGCUUUGCACUUUUUACAUUGUUUAUUCACCAACACUUUAUUUAAUAAAAGUCCCAUCUAGUUUUUAUGAGGAAUGUGAUGUUUUAAUUUCUCUGUGAAUAACUGCAGUCUAAUGCAACAGCUGGAGUUGUAACAUCUGUCCUGAUAUUGAUCAUGAAGUAUUGAUCAGAAUACUUAUGGUUAGCAGUCAUCCCUGAAGUUUACUUGUGUUGUGAACUUUGGUAAGAAGCAGAAACGUUAGCGUUGCCAUGGAUACAUGAGUGUUAAAUUCUAUCCAUGUUUCCAUUUUGGGAAAUGCAGUCCAGUUCCAGAAUGUGGAGGAAUUUAGUCUCACAAUCACAGACAACAAAUAUUAUCUGAAAGUCAGGUUAUUGUUGUUUAUCAGCACAAUACAAAAAGAUUAAUGUUAGAAAUAUUCCAGUUAAGACUCUAGAAUAUCAUGAUUUAUGUAAAUUUACCUCGAUAAUAUGAAUGUUCAGGUUAAUAUUGUGCAGUGAUGUUUAUUGUGUGAGAUUAGCUGAUUAAAGUUUAUUAUUUAUUAUUUAGAUUUACAUCAUUAUUAUAAUAUUUAGGGUCAGACCCUACAGUAUUGAGAUUAAGAAAUCAAAUAUUCUAUAAAAUUUAAAUACACUGAAUUCAUUUGGAUAUUUUUAAGUGAGACUCUACAAUAUUAUUUGACACAAAUCUAUCUAAAUCUAAAUUGUAAUCAUUUUUACUCCUAACAUUUACUGGACUGAUUUAAAUAUUAAAAUCACUCCUUUCCAAUCCUCUGCUGUACGGUCAAACCUGAGGCCUUAAAUAGAAACACACAAGUAUCUGAUUGAAGGAACUUCUGCAGAGUCCUGGUUCCAGAACAUGAUGAUAGAAUUAUAGACAAACUUUAACAAAAGCUGCCUGAGAGUUUACAGGUUUUUAUGUUGGAUUUCUUCAGUAAUUUAAUGAGAGUUACCAGCAAUAAUCAAGUGUUCAUUUGAUGAACUUCAUUUCCUAAAACAUCCAGAAUUGGAGCUCAUGUCUUUGGCAGCUGUAAAGUUUCUGCUCCUUCAAAGUUCACAACACAAUGAAUGAAUUCCUAAAACACUCUCAAUGCUGGAGAGCGUUUGUGAUGCUGAAGCAGUGACCAGUUUUUCUGUUUCUUCUCUGGAGAUGCACAAUGAGGGACGUCUGCAGAGACUGAGAAAGAGUCUCACCACAUCCUGACAUGAGGAAAAAGACUUUAUUGAAGACUACAAUGAGGAAAACUAUCAGACAGCAGACGGCUGCAUUCAAGGUGAACUCUGAACAUUUGAUCUGGAACAGGAAUUCAAUAACGGCAGCAUGAGCUUCAUUUCAGUCUGUAGCUGCUGAAUUCAUGGAUGAAUCAUCUGGCACUAGAGAAGAAGACCAUCAAACAUCCACGUCAGCUGAUGGAGGUCCAAGAGUCUCACUGAACAACCAACCUACAGAGUGAAGACCUCAAAUCUGAUUGGACGGCCUCCUAUUCAGCCACAUGUGUGAACAAAUGCCUCUAAGUUGAUUUGUUUUCUAAAAUAAAUCUAGUUUGAGUCCUAA